rnacentral:rRNA from 1 species
AUUGAACGCUGGCGGCAGGCCUAACACAUGCAAGUCGAACGGGAACAGGAAGAAGCUUGCUUCUUUGCUGACGAGUGGCGGACGGGUGAGUAAUGUCUGGGAAACUGCCUGAUGGAGGGGGAUAACUACUGGAAACGGUCGCUAAUACCGCAUAACGUCUCAAGACCAAAGAGGGGGACCUUCUGGCCUCUUGCCAUCGGAUGUGCUCAGAUGGGAUUAGCUAGUAGGUGGGGUAAUGGCUCACCUUGGCGACGAUCCCUAGCUGGUCUGAGAGGAGGACCGGCGACACUGGAAGUGAGACACGGUCCAGACUCCUACGGGGGGCAGCAGUGGGGAAUAUUGCACAAAGGGCGCAAGCCUGAUGCAGCCAUGCGGCGUGUAUGAAGAAGGCCUUCGGGUUGUAAAGUACUUUCAGCGGGGAGGAAGGGAGUAAAGUUAAUACCUUUGCUCAUUGACGUUACCCGCAGAAGAAGCACCGGCUAACUCCGUG